rnacentral:rRNA from 1 species
UGCGUAGGUGGCGCUGUAAGUCGGGUGUGAAAUUUCGAGGCUUAACCUCGAAACUGCAUUCGAUACUGCGGUGCUUGAGGACUGGAGAGGAGACUGGAAUUCAUGGUGUAGCAGUGAAAUGCGUAGAGAUCAUGAGGAAGACCAGUGGCGAAGGCGGGUCUCUGGACAGUUCCUGACACUGAGGCACGAAGGCCAGGGGAGCAAACG